CCCCAGACUCCUACGGGAGGCAGCAGUGGGGAAUAUUGCACAAUGGGGGAAACCCUGAUGCAGCGACGCCGCGUGAGUGAAGAAGUAUUUCGGUAUGUAAAGCUCUAUCAGCAGGGAAGAAAAUGACGGUACCUGACUAAGAAGCCCCGGCUAACUACGUGCCAGCAGCCGCGGUAAUACGUAGGGGGCAAGCGUUAUCCGGAUUUACUGGGUGUAAAGGGAGCGUAGGUGGCAUGGUAAGCCAGAAGUGAAAACCCGGGGCUCAACCCCGCGGAUUGCUUUUGGAACUAUCAGGCUGGAGUGCUGGAGGGGUAAGCGGAAUUCCUAGUGUAGCGGUGAAAUGCGUAGAUAUUAGGAGGAACACCGGUGGCGAAGGCGGCUUACUGGACAGAAACUGACACUGAGGCUCGAAAGCGUGGGGAGCAAACAGGAUUAGAUACCCCAGUA
rnacentral:rRNA from 1 species